rnacentral:tRNA from 2 species
UCCGCGGUAGCUCAGCGGUAGAGCAACCGGCUGUUAACCGGUUGGUCGUAGGUUCGAAUCCUACCCGCGGAGCCA